UGCCUACGGGGCGCAGCAGUGGGGAAUAUUGCACAAUGGGGGAAACCCUGAUGCAGCAACGCCGCGUGAAGGAAGACGGUUUUCGGAUUGUAAACUUCUGUUCUUAGUGAAGAAGAAUGACGGUAGCUAAGGAGCAAGCCACGGCUAACUACGUGCCAGCAGCCGCGGUAAUACGUAGGGAGCGAGCGUUGUCCGGAAUUACUGGGUGUAAAGGGAGCGUAGGCGGGCGAGAAAGUUGAAUGUUAAAUCUACCGGCUUAACUGGUAGCUGCGUUCAAAACUUCUUGUCUUGAGUGAAGUAGAGGG
rnacentral:rRNA from 1 species